GUUGUGGUUGUUGUUGAGGCAUCGGUGCCCUAGGAACUGAUGCCGGAGUUAUAUAAACUUGCUGUUGAUGAACUAAGCCUUGCGGUAUCGAUUGUAGAGUUAAAAUAUCACUGAAAUCAGAGUCAUAAGUAUUUUGUAGAUCGUUGGCGAACUUAUAUUACGACGAUAUCCUAGCACAGUCCUCCCAGAGGUGAAUAAAUGCCCAUAAAACCAACAUUAGGAUGAAGUAUAUUUGUAGAUUUGACAUAUAUAAUGAAAAACUGUACGAGGGUCAGAUGUCGAAGUUGAUGGAGUUUUCAUGGCAACAACUUCUAGCUUGGACGCCGUUUAAGAAUAAGGAGAUAUCGAGGAGUUUCAUGCAUGUUUAACUAAAUGUUAUCGAUUCUGUCUAUGGGUUAAGCAAGCUUGGAAAAUGAGAAAAUUAUGA